rnacentral:lncRNA from 1 species
AAGCCGUGAAGAGCACUUGAUAUCAUCAGUGUUCUAGCUUUGGUGACUCAGAAACAAAUUUUGUGUACAGAAAAUAGCAUAUGGUCUGCAGGGAUUUCAUGUUCCUAAGCAAAAGCUCUGUUAAGAGAAAAAAGAAGAGGGAGAGGAGGAGAAGGACGAGAGAAAUAAAGAAACCACAGGCCAGUGGGAAUUGUGGGUUUCUGGGAUUGGGUAUUAUAGUAGAAAGAGCAAGAACUUAGUCUGGAGCCAGAGGGCCUAGGUUCUGUUACUAAGAAUGCUUCUGACCACCUGUGUGACCAGAUGAACAAGUCAUUGUACCUUCCUCAUUCACCAUUAAGAGUUGAAUGAAGGAAUUUAAUUGUAGAGAUGAAUCAUAGAUGAACUGAACUGUAGGGCAACUAGUUAUCGCAGGGACGCAGGGCAUAGAGCGCUAGGCCUGGAGUCAAAAAGACCCAAGUUCAAAUCCAGCCUCAGACAUUUACUAGAUGUGUGAUCCUGGGCAAGUCACUUAACUGCCAUUUGCCUCGGUUUCCUUCUCUGUAAAUAGCAAUAAUAAUAGCACCUACCAAAAAAAAAAUAAUAGCAUCUACCUCCCAGCAUUGUUGUGAGAAUAAAAUGAGAUAAUUGUAAAGUGCUUAGCGCA